CUCACGACUCAUCCCGUCUCCACCUCAGCCUCCGUCGCAGCCACUACCACCUCCAUCGCCACCGUCUCCACCUCCGCGGCUGUAGCCCAAGGAUCCACUCCUCCCUCUCGUGACUGCAGCCGUUGCUUCCUCCUGCCGCACCGCCGAGGCCACCACGAAGGGACAACUUUGGUUCUCGGCCUUCCCCCACCGAUUCCCUACCCUCGUUUGAUUGUCCCUCCUCCGAUGGCCCAGCGGCGGUAUCACCUCUUGCUCGCCGUCGCAUUCUUCCUCCACGUCAGGUGUGCCUCAGUUCAGAUCCAGGGUGUGAGCAAGGUUGAGUCUGCCUCUGAUUACAGCGUUGUUCAUGGCAAGUUGAUUAGCUAGCGGUAUAUCUAUGUGCUAGCAUGGCACAUGCGUGUGAUACCUUGCUUGUAUAUGAGGAUAUGUGUGUUCACUUUUGCCAAGAAGUUUGGAUUAGGGCCUCAUACCUUACUACAAACAGAACUAGUUUAGUUAGUAAACCUUACGCUUAGAGACUUGUUCCUUCUAUUUUAAUAGCAUGCUUGGCAAUUAUGGUUUAAAUUUUUACGGACCUUGUUUAGUGGUUUUAUUAAAGAAUAGUAGUUGUUUGCGAGAAAUAUGCUGAUUGAAUCUUGCUUUUGUAAUAAGAUAGCUAUUGUAUUGAGACAAUGAGACACAACUAUAGUUUUCUAUACAUACCAGAUAGUUCAACAAUCAGUCUAUUUGGUUGAAGAAGAAAAUUACUCCAUAGGUAUGAUCCUUUCAAAUUUCUGCUUGUUAUGUUAUUUUGGAGUAGCACGCUCUCUUGGCUCUCUUGUUUAUGAUUGCAUCCUUCAUAUGAGCGAUAAGUCCAAAGAUUAAACCACUCUCAAAUAGCCUAUAGAUGAUUUCAUGGUUUCUGUAUCUUACCAGUGAGAUGCCUUUUUCUAGUUAUGCUACUAUAUGUGUAGACCCUCCCAGAUUUUGUCCACAUGACGUUGUAAAUCUUCUUUCUCCAUCUACGAUGAACUUAUAACGAUGAGCUCCAGAUGAAAGCAUCAAUAGAGUGGUGUGAUCUUUGCCAGAUUUUUCAACGGUUUCCUAUCAUGCAUAUUAACCGUGUCAGAACUAAGAUAUUUCUAUCGUUAAGUUUCAGUUUCAAAGAAAAUGGAAUGGAAUGUGUGCCUUUUAUCUGUCUAAUGAAUGUACUUUGAUGCCCAGUUAUCCCAUGAUCCUUCCACAUGGAUAUAUUUUUCUCUCCAAGAGUUCAAGUAAGCAAAGUAGGAAUUUUCUUUUGAGGUGGGCCGUUAGAAUCCUCAUAUUGUUCAUGCAUCAAUAUCUAGUUGAACACUGGAGGUACUUCGGUAGCUCUUUGCAAUGGAAUCACUGAGCUUUGCAAUAUGAAAUAUAUCAAUGCCUUUACAAAUAUAUUUAUAUCAACAGGAGAACGAUGCAUGAGAUGAGAUCGAAACAUACAUUAGUCUACUUUCAUGGAUAUUGAAGACACUAAUCAUACUAUAUUCUGAUAUUGGCGAUGUGAAGAAUUGGUAUAUUUGAGGUAUCUAGCAAAUACAAAUUUGCAAUGAACUGGGUAACUAUUAUUUGCAAACCGAAACUUUUAUACCUGACAUUUCUAAGAUUUCCGUGUUACUAAACUAUAUUUUGAUCACACUUGUGCUCUUUGAUAUUACUAGGAAACACUUAACCAGUUGGCUCUUUGAAUUAUAUUUGUUCCAACUGGAACCAUGGACUUUGUUUAUUUUUACUACCAAGAUGACUGUGUUUGACAAUGAAUCACCUCUGCUUCCUAUAGGUUUAUUUAUCUGUUCAUUGGUAUCAGUGCUAGCGUCUUCCUGAUGUCUCUGUUUGGCUGCAUCGGAGCAGGGACAAGAAACAUCUGCUGCUUGUGUUUCAUAUCUUGUGGUUGUGUUUCUUAACUCAUCAUUGUGUUCUCCAUUCUGAAAAAGAUUCUGGUUGCUAUGCACAAGGCACUGAACAUGGGCUAUUAGACACUUGGAAUUAUGUUGGAUCUUUGUACUUGGACUAUUAAUGUCAUGCUCUUUAUGCUUGUUUUUA